UACGGAGGGUGCAAGCAUUAAUCGGAUUUAUUGGGCGUAAAGAGCGCGUAGGCGGGAAGGUCAGUCAGAUGUGAAAUCCCAGGGCUUAACCCUGGAACGGCAUUUGAUACUGCCUUUCUUGAGGGUAGACGGAGAAAGUAGAAUUCCACAAGUAGCGGUGAAAUGCGUAGAUAUGUGGAAGAAUACCAGUGGCGAAGGCGACUUUCUAGUUUAUUUCUGACGCUGAGGCGCGAAAGCUAGGGGAGCAAACAGG
rnacentral:rRNA from 1 species